rnacentral:rRNA from 1 species
GUCGAGCGAACGGAUAAGGAGCUUGCUCCUUUGAAGUUAGCGGCGGACGGGUGAGUAACACGUGGGUAACCUACCUAUAAGACUGGAAUAACUUCGGGAAACCGGAGCUAAUGCCGGAUAACAUUUGGAACCGCAUGGUUCUAAAGUAAAAGAUGGUUUUGCUAUCACUUAUAGAUGGACCCGCGCCGUAUUAGCUAGUUGGUAAGGUAACGGCUUACCAAGGCAACGAUACGUAGCCGACCUGAGAGGGUGAUCGGCCACACUGGAACUGAGACACGGUCCAGACUCCUACGGGAGGCAGCAGUAGGGAAUCUUCCGCAAUGGACGAAAGUCUGACGGAGCAACGCCGCGUGAGUGAUGAAGGUUUUCGGAUCGUAAAACUCUGUUAUUAGGGAAGAACAAAUGUGUAAGUAACUGUGCACAUCUUGACGGUACCUAAUCAGAAAGCCACGGCUAACUACGUGCCAGCAGCCGCGGUAAUACGUAGGUGGCAAGCGUUAUCCGGAAUUAUUGGGCGUAAAGCGCGCGUAGGCGGUUUCUUAAGUCUGAUGUGAAAGCCCACGGCUCAACCGUGGAGGGUCAUUGGAAACUGGGAAACUUGAGUACAGAAGAAGAAAGUGGAAUUCCAUGUGUAGCGGUGAAAUGCGCAGAGAUAUGGAG